rnacentral:rRNA from 1 species
AUUGAACGCUGGCGGCAGGCCUAAAACAUGCAAGUCGAACGAGUGGCGGACGGGUGAGUUAUGUCUGGGAAACUGCCUGAUGGAGGGGGAUCACUACUGGACAGUGUAUCUAAUACCGUAUACCCUAGUCUGUGCCCAGAUGGGAUUAGCUAGUAGGUGGGGAAAAGGCUCACCUAGGCGACGAUCCCUAGCUGGUCUGAGAGGAUGACCAUCCACACUGGAACUGAGAAACGGUCCAGACUCCUACGGGAGGCAGCAGUGGGGAAUAUUGCACAAUGGGCGCAAGCCUGAUGCAGCCAUGCCGCGUGUAUGAAGAAGGCCUUCGGGUUGUAAAGUACUUUCAGCGGGGAGGCGUUACCCGCAGAAGAAGCACCGGCUAACUCCGUGCCAGCAGCCGCGGUAAUUC